AUAAUCUACAUACCAAUGUGUAU
rnacentral:siRNA from 1 species